AGCAACUCUCCAUCUCAGCCUCCCAAGUAGCUGGGAUUACAGGGAGCUCCCAUGUUCAUGGAAGUGACAAAGAAUUUCAGUCCAGUGUGAUAAGAGGUGUGAUAGAGAUAAGUACCAUGUGCUCCACACCAGAGAGAAGGUGUUCCUAACUCAAGCUUGGGGAUGGGGCAAUGAUCGGAUUCCUGGAGGAGGUGCUACUGAGUUGUGUCUUGAAGCAUGAAUAAGAUAUGGCAGACUAAUAAAGAAAGAUAUGGCAGCCUUAGAGCCUUAGAUGGCACAUGGUCCCUGGAGACCUGCUGAAGAGACCAUAUGAUGGAAUCCUGAGAGUUCUCAGAAGCACCUGUUUAACCUCACUUCCAGUUUCCUGCCAUUAUCCAGAAAAGGAAGACCACUAAUUAAGAGGUAAAUGGCAGUUUUAUAUUUUCAUGGUUAAAUAACACAGACUUUUAGUGCUUAAAGGAACUAGUGUUAUACCCUUCAUUAUGAACACAAGAAAAUGAGUUCUAGAAUAAGUGUCCAUAGCUUCAGUGCCACAUAUUAAUAGGGAGUCAGAAAGCCUCCUCAGAUAACAUGUGAAAGAAGUGUGCCCAAACACUACAGAAGACUGGAGAACAGGACUGUCUUGUAACAUGACAGAAAGCAUGUCAAUUUGGGAGGCAGAAGGACUGCAAUUCAAAUGGCUCUAUACCUAUUAGCUGGCUCUACCCCUAAAUGGCUGGAUUAUCGGAGGCAAAUUGGUUAACUUAUCAGGUUCUCAGUUUCUACAUUUGAAAAAUGAGGAUAGUGACAACUAAUUUUCAGUUGUUGGAGAAUUAGAAAUAAUAUAUGAAUAAUGUAUAUUGUAGAUCCAAACACUAAUCACAGCUGAGUUGUGUAGUAAAUGCUGAUUAAUUUUAAAUAGUAUUCCUAAGUAUAAAAAUAACAUACAUGUAAUAUAUAAUAUAGAUAAAAGCUAUAUUUAUAUAUAGAUAAAAGUUUAUUUAUAUUUUGAUAUAUAUAAGCUUUUUUAUAUAUUUUAAUUUUAAUGUAAUUGAUCAGUAUUCUCCUUUAAGUAAUAUACACAU
rnacentral:lncRNA from 1 species